AGGAAUAUUGGUCAAUGGACGAGAGUCUGAACCAGCCAAGUAGCGUGAAGGAUGACUGCCCUAUGGGUUGUAAACUUCUUUUAUACGGGAAUAAAGUGAGGCACGUGUGCCUUUUUGUAUGUACCGUAUGAAUAAGGAUCGGCUAACUCCGUGCCAGCAGCCGCGGUAAUACGGAGGAUCCGAGCGUUAUCCGGAUUUAUUGGGUUUAAAGGGAGCGUAGGCGGACGCUUAAGUCAGUUGUGAAAGUUUGCGGCUCAACCGUAAAAUUGCAGUUGAUACUGGGUGUCUUGAGUACAGUAGAGGCAGGCGGAAUUCGUGGUGUAGCGGUGAAAUGCUUAGAUAUCACGAAGAACUCCGAUUGCGAAGGCAGCUUGCUGGACUGUAACUGACGCUGAUGCUCGAAAGUGUGGGUAUCAAACAGGAUUAGAUACCCUGGUAGUCCACACAGUAAACGAUGAAUACUCGCUGUUUGCGAUAUACAGUAAGCGGCCAAGCGAAAGCGUUAAGUAUUCCACCUGGGGAGUACGCCGGCAACGGUGAAACUCAAAGGAAUUGACGGGGGCCCGCACAAGCGGAGGAACAUGUGGUUUAAUUCGAUGAUACGCGAGGAACCUUACCCGGGCUUAAAUUGCAACCGAAUAUGGCGGAAACGCUAUAGCUAGCAAUAGCGGUUGUGAAGGUGCUGCAUGGUUGUCGUCAGCUCGUGCCGUGAGGUGUCGGCUUAAGUGCCAUAACGAGCGCAACCCUUGCCGAUAGUUACUAACAGGUUAUGCUGAGGACUCUGUCGGGACUGCCAUCGUAAGAUGUGAGGAAGGUGGGGAUGACGUCAAAUCAGCACGGCCCUUACGUCCGGGGCUACACACGUGUUACAAUGGGGGGUACAGAGGGCUGCUACCACGCAAGUGGAUGCCAAUCCCAAAAACCUCUCUCAGUUCGGAUUGAAGUCUGCAACCCGACUUCAUGAAGCUGGAUUCGCUAGUAAUCGCGCAUCAGCCACGGCGCGGUGAAUACGUUCCCG
rnacentral:rRNA from 1 species